rnacentral:rRNA from 1 species
UGAGAGUUUGAUCCUGGCUCAGAACAAACGCUGGCGGCGUGCCUAACACAUGCAAGUCGUACGAGAAAAUCGGCUUCGGCCGGUGAGUAAAGUGGCGCACGGGUGAGUAACGCGUGGAUAAUCUGCCCUUCAGCUGGGAAUAACUUACCGAAAGGUGGGCUAAUACCCAAUAAUACUAUCUUCACCCCGGUGGGAUAGUCAAAGAUGGCCUCUAUUUAUAAGCUUUCACUGAAGGAUGAGUCCGCGUACCAUUAGCUUGUUGGUAGGGUAAUGGCCUACCAAGGCCCUGAUGGUUAGCUGGUCUGAGAGGAUGAUCAGCCACACUGGAACUGAGACACGGUCCAGACUCCUACGGGAGGCAGCAGUGAGGAAUCUUGCGCAAUGGGGGAAACCCUGACGCAGCAACGCCGCGUGAGUGAGGAAGGUCUUCGGAUCGUAAAGCUCUGUCAGGUGGGAAGAAACGCAUGGGAGUUAACAGCUCUUAUGCUUGACGGUACCGCCAGAGGAAGCACCGGCUAACUCCGUGCCAGCAGCCGCGGUAAUACGGGGGGUGCAAGCGUUGUUCGGAAUUAUUGGGCGUAAAGAGCGUGUAGGCGGCUGGAUAAGUCAGAUGUGAAAGCCCUGGGCUUAACCCAGGAAGUGCAUUUGAUACUGUUCAGCUGGAGUAAGGGAGAGGAAAGUGGAAUUCCUGGUGUAGAGGUGAAAUUCGUAGAUAUCAGGAGGAACACCUGUGGCGAAGGCGACUUUCUGGCCCUAUACUGACGCUGAGACGCGAGAGCGUGGGUAGCAAACAGGAUUAGAUACCCUGGUAGUCCACGCCGUAACGAUGUUCACUAGGUGUUGGGGGGUAUUGACCCCCUCAGUGCCGUAGCUAACGCAUUGAGUGAACCGCCUGGGGAGUACGGUCGCAAGACUAAAACUCAAAGGAAUUGACGGGGGCCCGCACAAGCG